UUCUACAUAGUGCAAUAUAGGUUCCACUAGUAAUUGGGCCGGUAUAAUUAGGCCUAAGCUUGAAUUUCCCCCUACAAUCCAAUCGAAGGUAGUAAGGCUACGAGUAUGUUUCCAUCUCGAUCUAAACUGACAACCCUUCCUGCACUCUCUUUCCAUGUUUCCAUCUCGUUCUUUUUUUCUCUUUGAACAAAAAAGGUUUUUCUCCCCUUAUUAUUUUUCUGAGUUGAAACCGCACUCUUACCAAUGGAACUUAAUCAUCACCCUCAUCUCAAAAUCAAAACCUUGUAUCACCAGAAAUAAAAAACAAAGUCUUUUUUGUAACCCUAAAUCUAGUUGUUUUUCUCCUGAAAUCCUAGGGUUUGAGUAAUGGAAAGAAGAAGAUAUGGAACUGAGUCAACUCAUUUUCAACUAUGAUUUAGUUUUUACUUAUUGUUAUUUGAUUAGAUUUGAUUGGUAUUGUUUAAAUCGAUCUCAAGGUAUGGAUUCAUCACCAACGACAUCAAGUUCAGCAUCAGUAGCAAAACUUUGGACAUCUAUGAGAAGUAUAAUUUUUUUUAAAAAGAAGUGAGUAUGUGAUCUUCAUUUCUCGGAAGUGGUGGAAGAUUUCAUUUCUAAAGUAGAAAGGCUUGAAAGUGAUUUGUAUAGGUGGUGUAUACUGUGUACAAAGUGGACAAAAGGGAUUUGGACUCGAGUUUGGCUCUUCUCAAGUUCAUUCAGUCUUUUAGCUUUUGUAGGUUGAACUUCCAAUUGUAGAUAGUUUGGUGAAGGGGUAGUACAACGUGCUCUGAAUGGUUAUGAUUCAUUUCAAUCUAAGUCAAGGCAUAAGUCACAACAUACAAAUGAUCUUGUAUCUUUAACUUACACAAGUUCAGCAAGCAGCUGCCUGCUCACAAAUAUUCUUCCAGGUUCAAAAGAUUCAGUCUUUAACAACAAAUAUUGGAGUAGUAUACAGGAGAGUAGGUUCCCCGCACAUUCCUAUUUCUAUUGCAGUUUGAAGAACUUCAGGAAAAGAGCAGUUGCAAAGGAAUUGCUGAUAGCACAAAGCCUCCAAACGAUGACGAUUUUGACUGCCAGGUUGAUGAAACUGUGGAUGCAAGUGCAAUUUUAAUCUAUAGAGAUGGCAUACUUGGAUAUGUUUCAGUAGGUUAGGUAGCUAAAAACUUGUGUAAAUCUUAUAGAAGAGCUAUCAAAUUAGAGUGGUAAAUCUAGGUAACAAUUUAGUAAUUUGAAUUCAGUGAAAAAAGGUCAG